GCUACUGCGGAGGAGGGGAGGGGCGGGGAGGGAAGGGGGGAAGGAUGCAGCGAGGGAGGGAGAUGGGCCUUGAGGAUGGGGGAGGCAGAGAGGGAGAGAGAAUAGAAACAGAGACAGAGAGAGACAAAGAGGGAGAGAGACAGAGUUUAAGACCACCCCUCACCACCUAGGCGCAGAGAUUCUGAGGCCUGGGAAGUGGAGAGGUCAGAGACCAGGAAGAGACAGAAAGAGACAGGGGGACGCCCAGAGGCCUGGGGCUGAGAGAUGCUGAGACCCAGAGACCUUGAGCU
rnacentral:lncRNA from 1 species